AAGUCCACUUGUUGUUGUCUUUAUGAGUACGAAGGUAAAUGCUAUAGCUGGGGAUGUUGUCCGCUCGAGUCAGCCACUUGCUGUGACGACGGUUCUAGCUGCUGCCCUCAGUCAUACCCUGUCUGCGAUUUGAAGGCCGGUACUUGUAGAAUGAAGGGAAACAGUCCGUUAAGCAUAAAAGCCUUGACACGAGGACCAGCGAUUGGGGCCACGAAGUCUACAAACGUGCUUGUAAGCAGCGCUUAAGGAAGAAAAGAACAUAGUUGCUUUUCAUCCCACGUUAUCAAGAUUCAGUCUUCUGUCUUUAAGACACUUCCAAUUAAGUUUGGAUCAUAGUUUGACUACUCUCGUUAAUUUUAAUGUGUUAUCUUGGAAUUGAUUUUACUUGCUGUAAAUCUUUAAGAAGUAAUCUGAUAUUUGCUCUCAUAGCAAUAUAGCAUUGUCAAUUUGUCAUCUUCCUUGAAUAAUAAAAUUUGACCAAAUUGAAGCUGGAA